UACGUAGGGACCAAGCGUUGUUCGGAUUUACUGGGCGUAAAGGGCGCGUAGGCGGCAAUUCAAGUCAUCUGUGAAAUCUCCGGGCUUAACCCGGAACGGUCAGAUGAUACUGCUUUGCUAGAGUGCGGAAGGGGCGAUCGGAAUUCUUGGUGUAGCGGUGAAAUGCGUAGAUAUCAAGAGGAACACCUGAGGUGAAGACGGGUUGCUGGGCCGACACGUGACGCUGAUAGCGCGAAAGCCAGGGGAGCAAACGGG
rnacentral:rRNA from 1 species